ACUGGCUCAGUGACCCUUGUUUUUCAAACCUGGUGCGGCCUGUGUUCUUCAGCCAUGGCACCCCCUCAGCCAUGGCACCCCCUCAGCCAUAUCAUCCCCUCAGCAAUGAUCCCCUCAGCCAUAUCACCCCCUCAGCUGCGACACCCCGUCAACCAUGACCUCCUUAGCCAUGUCAUCCCCUCAGCCAUGUCACCCCCUCAGCAAUGAUCCCCUCAGCAAUGUCAUCCCCUCAGCUGUGACACCCCCUGAGCCAUGACCUCCUUAGCCAUGUCAUCCCCUUAGCCAUGGCCCCCCCUCAACCAUGACUCCCCCUCAGCCAUGUCACCCCCUCAGCCAUGUCACCUCCUUAGCCAUGUCACCCCCUCAGCCAUGUCACCCCCUCAGCCAUGUCACCUCCUUAGCCAUGUCACCCCCUCAGCCAUGUCACCUCCUUAGCCAUGUCAUCCCCUCAGCCAUGGCCACCCCUCAGCCAUGACUCCCCCUCGUUGCUCUGGGCUGUAGUUCAAGGGGUCAUAUCUAGUUGACCAAAAAAUGCCAUGCUUAAUGCUGGGAACUCUCCCUGGCAGCCUGCCCUGUGCGUGAGGCAACGCCAGCUCCAUCUCGCCUCUUCCAGCACCUUGGAACCCCCUGGGAACGGCAUUUUCCCAGCUGGAUGAGAAAUAUCCACACACUCUCUUCACGAUAAAUCCUGUCUUGCCCGGGAAAGUAAUUUGAAAACAUCCCUGCUGAUAAAUGAGGGGUAUUUGAAGCCCUGUCUGUUUGUUAUGUGUUUGUAUGUGAGAUAGUGCAGCGGGUUCCUGAUUCAUGACUGGACCUGAGAGCUGCUGCAAGAUCAUCAUAAAUAAUCCACGGACCGGGUGAAGGCUGAGGCUCCAUGUUUGCUUCCUGAUUUAAAGUGCCAAGGUCACCUGGAAGGCAGCGAUACACUUCCCUGUGCAAUUUCCCUGUGUGCUUCCUCCGGAUUCGGAGGCCGCCUUGGUCAGGAAAUAGGAAACCUGUAGAUUAUGUUAGAUACAGCUUCAGUGUCUUGCCGGUCAAAUGUGCAUGAUAUAUUGUCAUAUAUUAUAAUGUUUACCCAUUUCUCUAUAAUUUUUCAAGAAUCUCGGUGCAGAAGUGUGUUUCAAAACACUGAAGUUGGGUGUUUCUGAGAUUUCAAGCAGAAAGUGCUUCAAAAUACUGCAAAUGAUGGUCUUGUCUCCUCGGAAGCAGGCGUUAAAGCUGUAGGUAUAUUCCUCACCCACACACCUCUCUGAGAUACACAGUGCCCACACUGCAGCUGAGCCCUCCCCAGCUUCUCACUUUGCCUGCAGCAAACAGGACAAUCCCGAUUUCCCUGAGACAUUCUCAGUGCCUCCUUUCAGUUUUUAAAUCACCAGCCACACCUCAGUCCUGCCUUCCCACUCUCUGCUUGCUUUGUGAAUGAAGUUUCUUAUCAGGGCCAUUGUAAUCAGAGGCAAAGCUGGGAGGGAGCAGGAGGUGAAGACAAGAGACAGGAACCAUGAUCAAAUAGCUGGGAUGUUCCUUAAUUAAGUAAAUCUCGGGAUUACGCAAGCUGCUGUUCCAGUUUUCUCAGGAAAGGAGAUGUCUUUAUGAAUCACCGUCAAUUUUCAUUAUCAGCCACCGACUGAGACGUCAGAGAGCAAGAGUAGCAUCUUCCCCACAGCACAGUUAGCAGAUGAGUGUUCCCAGUUCUCUUCAUGUAGACAGGGGAACACGUUUGGGAUUUUGGGAAGCAUGUCUAAGCCAGGACCUCAGGCAGCAUCUCCUUUGGGCCGGUUGCAUUCUGAUGACCCAAACUCACUCCUGGAAAAAAAAGGUUUUGUUCCUGUGCUCCUUGCUUAGUAAUCAACAUGAAAUUAUUUUACAUCAUUAAAACACCAUUGUUCUGGACAACUGUAUUUCCUGUGAUGAUGGAAAAGACUUCUAUGACAUGCAAAUACUUUAAUUUCAAAUUGCUAGAAACUUUGCAAUCCUUCCCAAUGAAACUCAUGCUGAAUCUUAAUUGAUUUCUGAAGAAGAACACAUUAUUGGAAGGGACUAGUGGGAUUGAGUUGGAAAGCCCUCUUGCUUUUCAUGCCAGUGGCGUGUUCCUCCUAAGCCAGGUGGUUUGUAGGUGUCCCUGACUCUGAUGUGGCUCUUCUGCUGGUCCCUGUCCCCACAUGUCUCAUCUAAAGAUCUAAUGGCUAAAGGAAAGGCUGCAUUUGUUGAUUCUGGAUAUUGCAAAGCCUUGAUGUCAUAACAGCAAACUCUGCUUCUGACAAAGCUGUGUGGUGAAAACCACGUGAGAGGGGAAAAUAUUAGAUUUGGUGAGAACAAAAUACGGGGCUUGGAUUGCUGCACCAAAAAUGGAGAAAAUGCAGAAAAAAUAAGCUAGUCCUAGAAGUAAGAACAAGACCUUUUUCUCUUCACAUAAAGACAAAUCAUUCUACAAUAUGUCUUUAAAUCCAGCCUCACAGAGUGUUCCUCUGUGGCCAGACUAGCACAGCUCAGUGCAGUGCAGCACCUGAGCCAGGGACACCACCAGCCAAGGAUCUGGGCCCUGCUUUGGUUUUAAAGAGAAAAAUUGUUUCUAUGAGUGAACAAAACGCUUUGUGAAACCCAAUACAAUUUAGUGAAUCAUCAUUUAUUGUGUAUAUAUUUAAAUUAUAUAUAGAUAUGUAUUGCAACUGAAGGUUCCUUUUGUUCUCUGUAAUUCUCACACCGGUCUACUCAUCCAUAGCUUUUCCUUGCUGCAUUUUGGAGAGGUUUUCCAUAAUUUGUUCUGGUUGCAGAAGUCUUUGUGUAGAACACAUUUUGUCUGUGCCUUGGCUCUCAGAGUCCUCAGCAAUGACAUUUUAAUGUUGUUUGGGCUGUGUUGGGAUUGAUGGUCCACAUGGACUCUUUCCUGUAAACUCUGGCACCUCGUUUGCCAUCUGGCUGGCUGAUAAGAGCUACUCUGAGCAGGGCACUUCAUCUCCUUUCCUUUCCCUGUGGCAAAGCAAUGAUGAUCUUGGAUAAAUCCUCUACUUAGGAGCAGAGAUUGUAGGAAAUUUAUAAGCACUAUGGAGGAGUAUUAAAAGACCCAGGUUUAAUAGCCAUGGCCUUACAUUUUGAAGGCAGGUUCUCUAUCAAGUCUCUGUUCAUCUUUCUUGAACAAUGUAAACAUCUUUCCCUUCUUCCUUCCCAUUCUUCCACCAGAGUCACCUUCCUUGAUUUGUGCUGGACAGAAAGCCAGAGCCUGUCUGCCACAACAGGGCUAUAAAUUAUGCCUUGUCUCAUUUCCAUUAAGCAAAUAGAAGUCUCUCUAAUUAAUUCUAUUGGAUUAAGUCCACAGAAAAUGUACAGAGGAUUCCGAGAGAGCUGCUAGUUAAUGUCUUUAAAAACCCCUUCUUCUGAAUACCUGUCCUUGAAGGAUCAGUCCUGCCAUCUCAAAGACAACAGCUUUUGGGAUGAAGCCUCGUGUGAGCUCCCAGCUGCAGAUAUAUCUUGCACAGAGAAGAUUGCGACAAUUUUUGAAAAAUUACAGCUUUUAUAACUCUUUCAAGACAAUUCGCCCCAGGCAACUGUCAGCAGAUCCAUCCUGGGCAUGGAGAUCCUACUUUCUUUAUGUUACAAGUUAUUUUCCCUUGGCCUGGGACAGUAUUUAACCCAGAUGUAACAUCAGUUCACAAGUGUGGAUGUGUUCAAAGCAGUACCUGUCCUGUCACCACUCUUGGAGCAGACAAAUCAAAAGCUGAUAUUCAGAUCUGAUCCCCAGCAAAUGGAGUGGCACAUUUGUGACUGCCCCAUCCCUGGAAGUGUCCAAGGCCAGGUUGGAGCAACCUGGUCCAAUGGAAGGUGUCCCUGGCCAGGGGGUGGAACGAGAUGAGCUUUAAAGUCCCUUCCAACCCAAACCAGUCUGGGAUUCUUUGGUUUUAAGGAGACUGGACUAAAGUCUGAUCCUUUGGAGUACACAUGUUCAAGAGUUUCUGAUCAGGCAUGAGCUGUUAAAAAAUCUCUAGUUUAUGGCUUUCCUGUAGAACUUGAAAUGUGGUUAUUGUUGAUUUAGGACCAGGAGCCUAGUUAAAAUUAAAUGCUUUCCAGCUGUAUUAAGUUGUGGUUGCUGGGCAGUGGUAUUUGCAAUAUGUUCUACUUGUACAUUAUAAAAAUGCUGAUUCUUUCCAUACACCUGUAGGUCUUUUGUGCUUCCAUAAGGACAAUAGUUUCUUUGGCUGAAACAUCCUGUCCAGAGGGUUACAAUAAAACACUUUGCACUUGAAUUGUUUGCCUUCCUGACCCCUCAGCUUUCUGCCAGCUUCUGACUGUGCCUGCAACCACAAUAAUGCUAUGACUAACUUAAUUGGGAAAAAAAAAAGAAGAAAAAAUGUAGAAAAACCUUUAUGUCCUGUGAAAGGAAAGGUAUUGCUGCUGUGAGAAUUGCUAUUCCUGCUGGCAGGAAGGCAGGAGGUUAAUGAGAACCCCUCCUUGAGGGUUGCUUUUCUCAAUUUUCUCAUGUGCACAGGAACAAGCCAAAGGUGAGCUACACUGUUUCUUGAUGAAGAGCAAUGAAUUAAUCUUAAACUCCAUCACUUAUUCCAUAGAACACAGAAAUUUAGUGUAAUCGUGUCCUCACUCUGUAUUGACAGUGUCUGAAAAAUAACUUUCUGAGACAUGGAUUCUCUUUGAUUUCAUCAGUGUCAUGUCAUAGGACAGAGCAGCACAGGGAAAAGUGUAAGGAGCACAUUUGGAGCAAGAGACACUUUUCCUGCAUCACCAGUGUCUCCCCUCCAGAAUCUGAAUUACCCCACGGCCUUGAGAGGGGACAAAAAGGCUGGAGAGAUUUAAAAUUCCAGCACUCUGCCCAUGGGGACAAACUAGAUGCACCAAGAGUCUGUAACAUACACUCGGUGUCACGUCCAUGUGCCCUCCUGAGCACUGCACAUUCCACUGGAAGGUCAUGCCUGUCCCUCUUUGGCCUCAUCCCUCUAUCACAGAGAGUGAGAACAGCUACAGGCUCGUGUUACCCGGGAGCAUUAAUUGUGCUGGGUGGAAUGCCCAGCUCAUUCCUCUGAAUGAAUGUAUGUGUAUGUGUAUCCCACAGUGCCAUCCUUACAGGCUGGGCAUUAACCUACCAGCACAGCCAGGAGAGGCAGUGGAACAACAAACUCAAUUUUUAUUAAAAUGAAACACUCUCUUUUGACCCUGGUGUUAAGGACUCAGUUAUUGUCAUAUAUAAGAUGGAGAGUUUGGAACAUGCUGUCUGUGGUGCCAAGAUAAUUGCUGUGUGUGUUUUGUUCCAGCUCCAAAGCUCUGCAGCCAUCCCUACCAGCAACAGCAAGUUCCUGCUCCUGUCAGUUAAAAGCCUGUUUACCUUUGAACUCAGUGGGAACAAGAACCGGGUCCUUGUGCAACUGUGGGAAAUAAUUGACUGCAGUAACAUUUCCAUCAGCCCCGUGAGCUGAUUUGAACCAGAUUACUCAGGAAACUCAAAAGCCCGAUGCGAGGGUUUUAUGAUGGAUUUUUCCAAGGCAAAAAUCCAUGGACUGGCUUCAUACCACCAGCACACUUUAGGUUUUCCAUCGUGAGAUUGAUGCUACCCUUGAGCCUGAAGAUGGCUGGCAAGAGACUUGUGGGUGAGCGGAGGAGACUGUCACAGCAGUGCCUGUGGGGAGAUGCUGGAGGCACUCAGGCACAGCAGGUCCUUCUCUGAGCCAACUGAUCCUUGGCAGGUUGCAAACAGAGCAAAACUAAAAGUGGCAAAUGCACUGUUUCUGUGGAUGGCAGACAGACCAGAGAGCAAUUACACUCCCCAGGGUGGAACAUCUCACAUCAACAAGGCUCACUUUGGUGCUGGGGAUUCAGUGGGAUUCAGCUCCAGUGGGCUCUGGCAAAGACCCUAAAUAUAGAACAUUACAUGACCUUAAUGUUGCUUUUGAAAAUAGACUGCUGAUACUGAGAUUUACAUAAAGAAAUACAUAAAUUUACUGUUCAACAUGGUGGAUAAAUGCCCUGUGGCAAACAUCUAUUAGAGAAGUAGAAUGUAAUUAAAGUUACUUAAUGCUGGGAAAGUAAACAUUACUUGGAUUA